rnacentral:tRNA from 1 species
GAAAAUGAAAUCAAAUAUUGAUGUUUCACUUACAAUGAAAAUUUGUUUUCAACCAUUUUCU